rnacentral:rRNA from 1 species
GACAGAGGAGCCAAGCGUUGUCCGGAUUGACUGGGCGUAAAGCGCACGCAGGCGGUCGUGCACGUGGGGUGUGAAAACUGGCGGCUUAACUGCCAGAGGCCACCUCAUACGGCGCGACUCGAGCCCUGCAGAGGUCCAUGGAAUUGCCGGUGUAGUGGUGAAAUGCGUAGAGAUCGGCAGGGACACCCAGGGGGAAACCAGUGGACUGGGCAGGAGCUGACGCUCAGGUGCGAAAGCGUGGGGAGCGAACCGG